GUGCUUAACACAUGCAAGUCGAACGGAAAGGCCCUUCGGGGUACUCGAGUGGCGAACGGGUGAGUAACACGUGGGUGAUCUGCCCUGCACUUUGGGAUAAGCCUGGGAAACUGGGUCUAAUACCGGAUAGGACCACGCGCUUCAUGGUGUGUGGUGGAAAGCUUUUGCGGUGUGGGAUGGGCCCGCGGCCUAUCAGCUUGUUGGUGGGGUAAUGGCCUACCAAGGCGACGACGGGUAGCCGGCCUGAGAGGGUGACCGGCCACACUGGGACUGAGAUACGGCCCAGACUCCUACGGGAGGCAGCAGUGGGGAAUAUUGCACAAUGGGCGCAAGCCUGAUGCAGCGACGCCGCGUGAGGGAUGACGGCCUUCGGGUUGUAAACCUCUUUCAAUAGGGACGAAGCGCAAGUGACGGUACCUAUAGAAGAAGGACCGGCCAACUACGUGCCAGCAGCCGCGGUAAUACGUAGGGUCCGAGCGUUGUCCGGAAUUACUGGGCGUAAAGAGCUCGUAAGUGGUUUGUCGCGUUGUUCGUGAAAUC
rnacentral:rRNA from 2 species